GUGACAUUAUUAAAAAAGGUUCAAAUUCCAUUCAUUACAAAAACUUUAAGAGCGUUUGUCAUGUUUGUCAGUGAACUGUUUGUUAGGGCAUGCGCAAUAGAUAGAAAAAAUAUUCUCUUACAUUUUUCCUAUCUUACCCACACUUGACUUUUUUCUGUAUACAUAAGCUUUUCAAUGGUGUACUAAAAACUAAAGUUCUAAGUGUGUAACUGUCAUCCGCGCAAAGCUUACUUGCUGGUAGCUUCAUGAAAACGGAGCUAGGCGCAACAAAGAAUUUAAUAAAUUGUAGUGUGCAUUUCAACGUUUUUUUUACUUCUCAGCAGAGCACAAAUAAUUGUACAUAUGUAUAUAACAAUUCAGUAUUUCAGAAGAAAUUGGCUAUUGGAAUAAACGUA